AUUGAACGCUGGCGGCAGGCCUAACACAUGCAAGUCGAGCGGAUGAAGGGAGCUUGCUCCUGGAUUCAGCGGCGGACGGGUGAGUAAUGCCUAGGAAUCUGCCUGGUAGUGGGGGAUAGCGUCCGGAAACGGGCGCUAAUACCGCAUACGUCCUGAGGGAGAAAGUGGGGGAUCCUCGGACCUCACGCUAUCAGAUGAGCCUAGGUCGGAUUAGCUAGUUGGUGGGGUAAAGGCCUACCAAGGCGACGAUCCGUAACUGGUCUGAGAGGAUGAUCAGUCACACUGGAACUGAGACACGGUCCAGACUCCUACGGGAGGCAGCAGUGGGGAAUAUUGGACAAUGGGCGAAAGCCUGAUCCAGCCAUGCCGCGUGUGUGAAGAAGGUCUUCGGAUUGUAAAGCACUUUAAGUUGGGAGGAAGGGCAGUAAGUUAAUACCUUGCUGUUUUGACGUUACCAACAGAAUAAGCACCGGCUAACUUCGUG
rnacentral:rRNA from 1 species